GAUGAAGAACGCAGCGAAAUGCGAUAAGUAAUGUGAAUUGCAGAAUUCAGUGAAUCAUCGAAUCUUUGAACGCACAUUGCGCCCGCCUGUAUUCUGGCGGGCAUGCCUGUCCGAGCGUCAUUUCAACCCUCGAACCCCUCCGGGGGGUCGGCGUUGGGGAUCGGCCCCUCACCGGGCCGCCCCCGAAAUCCAGUGGCGGUCUCGCCGCAGCCUCUCCUGCGCAGUAGUUUGCACACUCGCACCGGGAGCGCGGCGCGGCCACAGCCGUAAAACACCCCAAACUCUGAAAUGUUGACCUCGGAUCAGGUAGGAAUACCCGCUGAACUUAAGCAUAUCAAUAAGCGGAGGA
rnacentral:misc_RNA from 1 species